rnacentral:rRNA from 1 species
GAUGAACGCUGGCGGCGCGCCUAACACAUGCAAGUCGAACGAUUAAAGCACCUUCGGGUGUGUAUAAAGUGGCGAACGGCUGAGUAACACGUGGGCAACCUGCCCCUUUCAUUGGGAUAGCCACGGGAAACCGUGGAUAAUACCGAAUACUUCGAGACUUCCGCAUGGAAGACUCGAGAAAGCUCCGGCGGAGAGGGGUGGGCCCGCGGCCUGUUAGCUUGUUGGUGGGGUAACGGCCUACCAAGGCAAUGAUGGGUAGCUGGGUUGAGAGACCGACCAGCCAGAUUGGGACUGAGACACGGCCCAGACUCCUACGGGAGGCAGCAGUGGGGAAUCUUGCACAAUGGGCGAAAGCCUGAUGCAGCGACGCCGCGUGCGGGAUGAAGGCCUUCGGGUUGUAAACCGCUUUCAGCAGGGACGAGGCGAAAGUGACGGUACCUGCAGAAGAAGCCCCGGCUAACUACGUGCCAGCAGCCGCGGUAAUACGUAGGGGGCAAGCGUUAUCCGGAUUCAUUGGGCGUAAAGCGCUCGUAGGCGGUCUGUUAGGUCGGGAGUUAAAUCCGGGGGCUCAACCCCCGCUCGCUCUCGAUACCGGCAGACUUGAGUUUGGUAGGGGAAGGUGGAAUUCCUAGUGUAGCGGUCGAAUGCGCAAAUAUUAGGAAGAACACCAGUGGCGAAGGCGGCCUUCUGGGCCAUAACUGACGCUGAGGAGCGAAAGCUAGGGGAGCAAACAGG